CAGGCCUAACACAUGCAAGUCGAACGAAGGCUUCGGCCUUAGUGGCGCACGGGUGCGUAACGCGUGGGAAUCUGCCCUUGGGUUCGGAAUAACAGUUAGAAAUGACUGCUAAUACCGGAUGACGACGUAAGUCCAAAGAUUUAUCGCCCAAGGAUGAGCCCGCGUAGGAUUAGCUAGUUGGUGAGGUAAGGGCUCACCAAGGCGACGAUCCUUAGCUGGUCUGAGAGGAUGAUCAGCCACACUGGGACUGAGACACGGCCCAGACUCCUACGGGAGGCAGCAGUGGGGAAUAUUGGACAAUGGGCGAAAGCCUGAUCCAGCAAUGCCGCGUGAGUGAUGAAGGCCUUAGGGUUGUAAAGCUCUUUUACCCGGGAUGAUAAUGAC
rnacentral:rRNA from 1 species